CGGUGUUCAACUGGCGUGUCCGCGGGACGUCCUGCCGGUGGGCUUAGCCCGCAAGGGCGGCCCAACUUCAAAUCCCAUCGCGGUGCUCUUCACUGAGUGUCGAGGUGGGCCGGCACGUUUACUUUGAACAAAUUAGAGUGCUUAAAGCAGGCUAAAACUUCGCCUCAAUACUGUGUGCAUGGAAUAAUGGAAUAGGACCUCGGUUCUAUUUUGUUGGUUUUCGGAACCCCGAGGUAAUGAUUAAUAGGAACGGAUGGGGGCAUUCGUAUUGCGACGUUAGAGGUGAAAUUCUUGGAUCGUCGCAAGACGGACAGAAGCGAAAGCAUUUGCCAAAAACGCUUACAUUGAUCAAGAACGAAAGUUAGAGGUUCGAAGGCGAUCAGAUACCGCCCUAGUUCUAACCAUAAACGAUGCCAGCUAGCGAUCCGUCGACGUUCCUCCGAUGACUCGACGGGCAGCUUCCGGGAAACCAAAGCUUUUGGGUUCCGGGGGAAGUAUGGUUGCAAAGCUGAAACUUAAAGGAAUUGACGGAAGGGCACCACCAGGAGUGGAGCCUGCGGCUUAAUUUGACUCAACACGGGAAACCUCACCAGGCCCGGACACCGGAAGGAUUGACAGAUUGAGAGCUCUUUCUUGAUUCGGUGGGUGGUGGUGCAUGGCCGUUCUUAGUUGGUGGAGCGAUUUGUCUGGUUAAUUCCGAUAACGAACGAGACUCUAGCCUGCUAACUAGGCGUAUUUUCGACAUCUCAAAGGUCCGUCGUCCCGGCCCUCGGGUCGUGGGCGUGCGCGAUUUUUACUGUCGGCGUACUAUCAAUUCUUCUUAGAGGGACAGGUGGCUUCUAGCCGCACGAGAUUGAGCAAUAACAGGUCUGUGAUG
rnacentral:rRNA from 1 species